UACGGAGGGUGCAAGCGUUAUCCGGAUUCACUGGGUUUAAAGGGUGCGUAGGUGGGCAGGUAAGUCCGUGGUGAAAUCUCUGAGCUUAACUCAGAAACUGCCGUGGAUACUAUCUGUCUUGAAUAUUGUGGAGGUAAGCGGAAUAUGUCAUGUAGCGGUGAAAUGCUUAGAUAUGACAUAGAACACCAAUUGCGAAAGCAGCUCACUACUCAAUCAUUGACUCUGAGGCACAAAAGCGUGGGGGAUCAAAACAGG
rnacentral:rRNA from 1 species